rnacentral:rRNA from 1 species
GACGAACGCUGGCGGCGUGCUUAACACAUGCAAGUCGAACGGAAAGGCCCUGCUUUUGUGGGGUGCUCGAGUGGCGAACGGGUGAGUAACACGUGAGUAACCUGCCCUUGACUUUGGGAUAACUUCAGGAAACUGGGGCUAAUACCGGAUAGGUGCUCCUGCUGCAUGGUGGGGGUUGGAAAGUUUCGGCGGUUGGGGAUGGACUCGCGGCUUAUCAGCUUGUUGGUGGGGUAGUGGCUUACCAAGGCUUUGACGGGUAGCCGGCCUGAGAGGGUGACCGGCCACAUUGGGACUGAGAUACGGCCCAGACUCCUACGGGAGGCAGCAGUGGGGAAUAUUGCACGAUGGGCGGAAGCCUGAUGCAGCAACGCCGCGUGCGGGAUGACGGCCUUCGGGUUGUAAACCGCUUUCGCCUGUGACGAAGCGUGAGUGACGGUAAUGGGUAAAGAAGCACCGGCUAACUACGUG